rnacentral:rRNA from 1 species
UAACCUACCUAUAAGACUGGGAUAACUUCGGGAAACCGGAGCUAAUACCGGAUAACAUUUGGAACCGCAUGGUUCUAAAGUGAAAGAUGGUUUUGCUAUCACUUAUAGAUGGACCCGCGCCGUAUUAGCUAGUUGGUAAGGUAACGGCUUACCAAGGCGACGAUACGUAGCCGACCUGAGAGGGUGAUCGGCCACACUGGAACUGAGACACGGUCCAGACUCCUACGGGAGGCAGCAGUAGGGAAUCUUCCGCAAUGGGCGAAAGCCUGACGGAGCAACGCCGCGUGAGUGAUGAAGGGUUUCGGCUCGUAAAACUCUGUUAUUAGGGAAGAACAAACGUGUAAGUAACUGUGCAUGUCUUGACGGUACCUAAUCAGAAAGCCACGGCUAACUACGUGCCAGCAGCCGCGGUAAUACGUAGGUGGCAAGCGUUAUCCGGAAUUAUUGGGCGUAAAGCGCGCGUAGGCGGUUUCUUAAGUCUGAUGUGAAAGCCCACGGCUCAACCGUGGAGGGUCAUUGGAAACUGGGAAACUUGAGUGCAGAAGAGGAAAGUGGAAUUCCAUGUGUAGCGGUGAAAUGCGCAGAGAUAUGGAGGAACACCAGUGGCGAAGGCGACUUUCUGGUCUGUAACUGACGCUGAUGUGCGAAAGCGUGGGGAUCAAACAGGAUUAGAUACCCCUGGUAGUCCACGCCGUAAACGAUGAGUGCUAAGUGUUAGGGGGUUUCCGCCCCUUAGUGCUGCAGCUAACGCAUUAAGCACUCCGCCUGGGGAGUACGACCGCAAGGUUGAAACUCAAAGGAAUUGACGGGGACCCGCACAAGCGGUGGAGCAUGUGGUUUAAUUUGAAGCAACGCGAAGAACCUUACCAAAUCUUGACAUCCUUUGAAAACUCUAGAG